CGUUGGAGACCACAACGUUGAUAGGUGGGGUGUGUAAGCGCGGCGACGUGUUGAGCUAACCCAUACUAAUUACCCGUGAGGCUUAACCAU
rnacentral:rRNA from 2 species